rnacentral:rRNA from 1 species
UACGGGGGGGGGCAAGCGUUGUUCGGAAUUACUGGGCGUAAAGGGCUCGUAGGCGGCCAACUAAGUCGGACGUGAAAUCCCCAGGCUCAACCUGGGAACUGCGUCCGAUACUGGAUGGCUUGAAUCCGGGAGAGGGAUGCAGAAUUCCAGGUGUAGUGGUGAAAUGCGUAGAUAUCUGGAGGAACACCGGUGGCGAAGGCGGCAUCCUGGACCGACACUGACGCUGAGGCGCGAAAGCUAGGGGAGCAAACGGG